rnacentral:rRNA from 1 species
UAGAGUUUGAUCCUGGCUCAGGAUGAACGCUGACAGAAUGCUUAGCACAUGCAAGUCGACUCGAGUCUUCGGACUUGGGUGGCGCACGGGUGAGUAACGCGUAAAGAACUUGCCUCUUAGACCGGGACAACAUCUGGAAACGGAUGCUAAUACCGGAUAUUAUGGUUUUUUCGCAUGGAGGAAUCAUGAAAGCUAGAUGCGCUAAGAGAGAGCUUUGCGUCCCAUUAGCUGGUUGGUGAGGUAACGGCCCACCAAGGCAAUGAUGGGUAGCCGGCCUGAGAGGGUGAACGGCCACAAGGGGACUGAGACACGGCCCUUACUCCUACGGGAGGCAGCAGUGGGGAAUAUUGGACAAUGGACCACAAGUCUGAUCCAGCAAUUCUGUGUGCACGAUGACGUUUUUCGGAAUGUAAAGUGCUUUCAGUCGGGAAGAAGUCAGUGACGGUACCGACAGAAGAAGCGACGGCUAAAUACGUGCCAGCAGCCGCGGUAAUACGUAUGUCGCAAGCGUUAUCCGGAUUUAUUGGGCGUAAAGCGCGUCUAGGCGGCAAGGAAAGUCUGAUGUGAAAAUGCGGAGCUCAACUCCGUAUGGCGUUGGAAACUGCCUUACUAGAGUACUGGAGAGGUAGGCGGAACUACAAGUGUAGAGGUGAAAUUCGUAGAUAUUUGUAGGAAUGCCGAUGGGGAAGCCAGCCUACUGGACAGAUACUGACGCUAAAGCGCGAAAGCGUGGGUAGCAAACAGGAUUAGAUACCCUGGUAGUCCACGCUGUAAACGAUGAUUACUAGGUGUUGGGGGUCAAACCUCAGCGCCCAAGCUAACGCGAUAAGUAAUCCGCCUGGGGAGUACGUACGCAAGUAUGAAACUCAAAGGAAUUGACGG